rnacentral:rRNA from 1 species
ACGUAGGGUGCGAGCGUUAAUCGGAGUUACUGGGCGUAAAGCGUGCGCAGGCGGUUCGCUAAGACAGGUGUGAAAUCCCCGGGCUUAACCUGGGAAUGGCGCUUGUGACUGGCAGUCUAGAGUGCGUCAGAGGGGGGUGGAAUUCCACGUGUAGCAGCGAAAUGCGUAGAGAUGUGGAGGAACACCGAUGGCGAAGGCAGCCCCCUGGGAUGACACUGACGCUCAGACGCGAAAGCAUGGGGAGCGAACGG